CAAGCAGCCAGGGGUCGGACAGCUCCGCCAGAGUUUUGCUGUGAAUUACAGAGGCUCAGAGCUCCUGCUGUCCUUUAAUGCUGUUUUGGAUGUGCCUUAAUCCUGGCUCUCACUCAUCCAUUCUGACUCCAGGUGUAACUUGAAUUUGAGGAGAAUCGUGUUUUUCUGAUAGAUUUUGGCUAAUUUUGCUUUGUAGCUGAUUUUCAGAAAUGUGUUUGUAUUAAUCAGAAAUGUGCCAGAUAUACACAACU